ensembl:lncRNA
CCUCAAUUCAUCACAACUCACUGAACCUGUGGGCUGAAACCAUUGGUAUUUAUUUAAGCAAGUGCAGCUGUUUCUUGAGUUUCCUAGGCAAAGGAGCAGGAGUGAGAUGUACUUGGAUGAAAGGUUCUGAUGGGCCCACCUGCAGGCUGAGCUGGUACCUAAGCAGAGACAUAAACCUCUUCCACAUAAGCUCAUCAGACCCAUUGCCCAUCCUGGUGGCCAUGUGCCUCAGCCGUGAUGCUGCUCAGAGUGGAGAAGAUCUGUGCUGCCCACCUGGAGCCUACAUGCAGGAAUGCAGAAGAAGCACUUAGUCAUCUAAUGGUAUCACACCCAGUUGUGAGGAGCCAGGGUACGCAGGCAGUGGCACUCAGCUCAUCCUGGAGAACACUGCCUGCAGUGUCACACGUUGCUGGAAAGGAACUUUACAGACGUACAUGUGUGUUGCUGGAGAAAAUGCAAAGAUAUAUCUGGUUAAUGAUUUAUUGUGGUCUGCUGGGAAAAUAAUGCUGCUUGAGAAAACAAAAAUGCAAAUGAGAGUAGAUGUUUGCCUGAUGAACUAGAAGAGAAUUGAGAUAUAGAUUACAUAACACUUAUUGCUUAAAAAAAAAAAAAAAAUCAGCAACCAGGAAUUGAAAUGAGUGUUUUCUUCAUCCUUAGGCAGAGCUACCAGUCAGAUUGUGCUGGGCUCUGUAUUGCUGUACCUCGCUAG